rnacentral:rRNA from 1 species
UGCAGUCGAGCGAAUGGAUUAAGAGCUUGCUCUUAUGAAGUUAGCGGCGGACGGGUGAGUAACACGUGGGUAACCUGCCCAUAAGACUGGGAUAACUCCGGGAAACCGGGGCUAAUACCGGAUAACAUUUUGAACCGCAUGGUUCGAAAUUGAAAGGCGGCUUCGGCUGUCACUUAUGGAUGGACCCGCGUCGCAUUAGCUAGUUGGUGAGGUAACGGCUCACCAAGGCAACGAUGCGUAGCCGACCUGAGAGGGUGAUCGGCCACACUGGGACUGAGACACGGCCCAGACUCCUACGGGAGGCAGCAGUAGGGAAUCUUCCGCAAUGGACGAAAGUCUGACGGAGCAACGCCGCGUGAGUGAUGAAGGCUUUCGGGUCGUAAAACUCUGUUGUUAGGGAAGAACAAGUGCUAGUUGAAUAAGCUGGCACCUUGACGGUACCUAACCAGAAAGCCACGGCUAACUACGUGCCAGCAGCCGCGGUAAUACGUAGGUGGCAAGCGUUAUCCGGAAUUAUUGGGCGUAAAGCGCGCGCAGGUGGUUUCUUAAGUCUGAUGUGAAAGCCCACGGCUCAACCGUGGAGGGUCAUUGGAAACUGGGAGACUUGAGUGCAGAAGAGGAAAGUGGAAUUCCAUGUGUAGCGGUGAAAUGCGUAGAGAUAUGGAGGAACACCAGUGGCGAAGGCGACUUUCUGGUCUGUAACUGACACUGAGGCGCGAAAGC